CCUACGGGGUGCAGCAGUAGGGAAUAUUGCUCAAUGGGGGAAACCCUGAAGCAGCAACGCCGCGUGGAGGAUGAAGGUUUUCGGAUUGUAAACUCCUUUUGUUAGAGAAGAUAAUGACGGUAUCUAAAGAAUAAGCACCGGCUAACUCCGUGCCAGCAGCCGCGGUAAUACGGAGGGUGCAAGCGUUACUCGGAUUCACUGGGCGUAAAGAGCGCGUAGGCGGGAUAGAAAGUCAGAUGUGAAAUCCUAUGGCUUAACCAUAGAACUGCAUUUGAAACUGUUAUUCUAGAGUAUGGGAGAGGUAGGUGGAAUUCGUGGUGUAGCGGUAAAAUCCGUAGAGAUCAAGAGGAAUACGCAUUGCGAAGGCGACCUGCUAGAACGUAACUGACGCUGAUGCGCGAAAGCGUGGGUAUCAAACAGGAUUAGAUACCCGUGUAGUA
rnacentral:rRNA from 1 species